GAUGAACGCUGGCGGCGUGCCUAAUACAUGCAAGUCGAGCGAACAGAUGAGGAUCUUGCUCCUCUGUCGUUAGCGGCGGACGUGUGAGUAACACGUGGAUAACCUCCCUAUAUGACUGGGAUAACUUCGGGAAACCGGAGCUAAUACCGGAUAAUAUAUUGCACCGCAUGGUUCAAUAGUGAAAGACGGUGUUGCUGUCACUUAUAGAUGGAUCCGCGCCGCAUUAGCUAGUUGGUAAGUUAACGGCUUACCAAGGCAACGAUGCGUAGCCGACCUGAGAGGGUGAUCGGCCACACUGGAACUGAGACACGGUCCAGACUCCUACGGGAGGCAGCAGUAGGGAAUCUUCCGCAAUGGGCGAAAGCCUGACGGAGCAACGCCGAGUGAGUGAUGAAGGUCUUCGGAUCGUAAAACUCUGUUAUUAGGGAAGAACAAAUGUGUAAGUAACUAUGCACGUCUUGACGGUACCUAAUCAGAAAGCCACGGCUAACUACGUG
rnacentral:rRNA from 1 species